CCAGCAAGGCAAACGAGGUACAUAUAGCAGGUCGGAAAUAAAACUGUCUCAAGACCAAUCCAAGCAUUUAUGUUUUGCCACUUUAGCCUGCCACUACGGCCCCUGGAUGCUGCCACAACUCUCACCGCGUGCACUCCGUAGGAAGAACCUGCGAACGACGACAACCACACGAUUGUGGAUGAGUCUGAUUUUGUACGCCUGGAAACAUAAAACACAACCCCUUCUGGAGAAAAAAUAAAAGCAUUGACAACAAAAGCCUGCACGUCGGACACCCGACGGAACUAAACAAGACACAAGAGUAGAACGAAUUUCGCAGACAGCUGACGAAGAGAAAGAUCUCUGUUAUCUGACCAAUCCAACAGGAAGUGAAGCACGUGGCUCACAUUACAUAGGCAGAAAUAAUAAAGAGCAGGAAUGUGAGACAGAUCAACAAAUAAUAGGUAACUGAAUAU